GAAGUGUAGUGGUUAUCAGGUUCGCUUUACACGUGAAAGGUCUCCGGUUCGAUCCCGGACGGAACCA